UACGUAGGGUGCGAGCGUUGUCCGGAAUUAUUGGGCGUAAAGGGCUCGUAGGCGGUUUGUCGCGUCGGGAGUGAAAAUCCAGGGCUUAACUCUGGACUGGCUUCCGAUACGGGCAGACUAGAGGUAUGCAGGGGAGAACGGAAUUCCUGGUGUAGCGGUGAAAUGCGCAGAUAUCAGGAGGAACACCGGUGGCGAAGGCGGUUCUCUGGGCAUUACCUGACGCUGAGGAGCGAAAGUCUGGGGAGCGAACAGG
rnacentral:rRNA from 1 species